AUUGAACGCUGGCGGCAUGCUUUACACAUGCAAGUCGAACGGUAACAGGCCGCAAGGUGCUGACGAGUGGCGAACGGGUGAGUAAUGCAUCGGAACGUGCCCAGUCGUGGGGGAUAACUACUCGAAAGAGUAGCUAAUACCGCAUACGAGCUAUGGAUGAAAGCGGGGGACCGUAAGGCCUCGCGCGAUUGGGGCGGCCGAUGUCAGAUUAGGUAGUUGGUGGGGUAAAGGCUCACAAAGCCAACGAUCUGUAUCGGGUCUGAGAGGACGACCAGCCACACUGGGCCUGAGACACGGCCAAGACUCCUACGGGAGGCAGCAGUGGGGAAUUUUGGACAAUGGGCGAAAGCCUGAUCCAGCAAUGCCACGUGCAGGAAGAAGGCCUUCGGGUUGUAAACUGCUUUUGUACGGAACGAAACGGCUCUGGUUAAUACCCGGGGCUAAUGACGGUACCGUAAGAAUAAGCACCGGCUAACUACGU
rnacentral:rRNA from 1 species